GGGGCGCGUGAGGACUUCGGCGCGCGCCGGAAGCACGUGCGCGGGCUGGGCGCUCUGGCGGUGUGCGCUGAGAGGAAAGACAGUGAUCCCAGGAAGCGGGAAGAAAACAGCAUCACCUGAAGUUAUUCCUAUUCGUUAGAUUUGUUUUCUUCCUGCGAAAAACUGCUAUGUACAAGAAAGAAGUCAGUGAGCUGCAGUGAUAGUUAGCAUUAUUGACUGAAACUGGACCAGAGAUCCCUGAAACCUGGACAAGGUGGUAGAAAUACAAAUUAUGCUGCCAUUUCAAAGCUGUGGGCAGUUUUCUACUUUGUGGAAAAUGAAGACUUAGGUAGGCCUUUGGGAAAGACGAUUUGUUUUGGAAAAACCACCCAAAGGGAUCAUUUGGUUUGCAAAUGUAACUGCAGUAUCACAACUGGAAGAAGAAAUAUACAAGGGCGAGGUUUGAAGGAGCCCUUCAGUAUCCUUGGAUGAUACUGUGGAAGAUUCUUUGCAUCUCAGUAACUUUGGAUCUUUGAAGAUCCAAGAAAAUAAAUUUCUUCAAAAUAUUUUUAGAGACUGCUUUGAUUCUGAGGCACUGCUGAUUAUAUGGAAGAAAAAAAUAUUGGAAGAUUAAUUUGUGGUUUUCUCCAGUUAUCGUCUCCCUUCUCUUUGGGGGAGGUUUGUGACGCAGUAAAAACAGAUAUACAAAAGCCUAGGCAUGUUAGAGAUUUGCCUAAGGGAAAUGUAAUUAUGAAGAAGGAUUUUUUCAAGCUGAAACUAGAUCCCACUUUUUUCCAGGUCAGUGGGUCCUUCAAGUAUCUGGUACUUUCCUUCCUGCUUCCUGACAAUGUUAAAGAAUGUGGCAUGACCUUACAUUUAAUGCCCAACGUGAGGAGCCCUGGGGCUUGAUGCAUGAGAUUCUUGGAGCUAGGCCUGGUGGAGGGCACUGGUCACAGCCUCGGUGGAAUGGUGACUUUCUUUGGUAACUGGAAUUGAAGAAAAUGAGUGGACUUGUGUCUGAGCACUUGGGAACUCAGCAAUCCCUGGGUGUUACCUUGAGAAGGAGCCAAAUUCCAGACAUACAAGUGGAGACUUGAAAAUGGAAGCUCAAUUCCACACCCAGGCUGGUGGAGACUAUGACAUAUAACUCACAUCUUCAAGAAAGUAGACACCUCAGAGGUCACUGGGCCACUUUACCUUCCACUGUCAAAACUAUGUCCAUGAUCAGAUACCUCUGUUGCUAGGGAAUAUUCAGUCAGAAUGGGCUAGAUUAACUGCAGUAAUGCAGAUCUCUCAACCCAUUUAUGACUUACGCAGCAAAGUUCCUCGCUCAGACUACCUGUCCACUCCCACGAGCAGAGACUUGCUCAUGGGCCCUCCUAGACCCAGGCUGACCGAGUGUGUUUUAUCUAAAUGCAUCUCCACAAUCACUCAGGUAGGAGUGGCUAUGCAUUAGGACUGAUUGUGCAUUAGUUAGAGAAGCACUUACCAGGAAUUGCUAUAAGAACUUCUAUUUACAUUUCAUGGGCCAAAGCAAGUCAUGUGGCAACACUUAAUUUCAAAGAGGACAGGAAAUGCAAUAUUGUUAUGUCCCUGAAAGAAAGGAGAAGAGAAAGUCUAUGGAAAGACAUUAUGACUACCACUGGAAUUUUCACCUGUCCAGGCAGCUCAUCGUGCUUUUAUUUGAAACAAUUUUAUUGAAGUAUAGGCAUAACUGCACAUA
ensembl:lncRNA RAB4A-AS1 RAB4A antisense RNA 1